GAGCCAUCACAAAGGAUCGUUGAACCCAUCAAAGGAAGGAAAAUCCAAUUUGGUGUAGUGGGGAACCAUUGGUGCUCAUUGUCGUCCUCUAGAUCUUUCCUCACUACAAUUCAGAAAAUUGGUAUGACUGUUGCUACUAGAUUCACUUUCCAAUUUUGGGUUGUCUGUUGCCAGUGCUUUUGAAGAAUUCCCUUAAUUGGCUAGACAAAUCCUCAAUCCGGGUUUCUACUCAUGCAUUUGAUUUUUGCAUUUUCUAAACCAUUGUGUGUGUGUG
rnacentral:misc_RNA from 1 species